GCCCAGGCGGCGCGGGCGCUGGCCCGGCUGCGGUUGCUGACCGCGGGGCGGGCGUUGCGGGUGGACCACAUCGGCUCGACGUCGGUGCCCGGGCU
rnacentral:tRNA from 1 species